rnacentral:rRNA from 1 species
CCUACGGGAGGCAGCAGUGAGGAAUAUUGGUCAAUGGGAGAGAUCCUGAACCAGCCAAGCCGCGUGAGGGAAGACGGCCCUAUGGGUUGUAAACCUCUUUUGUCGGAGAACAAAACCCGGGACGUGUCCCGGACUGCGUGUAUCCGAAGAAAAAGCAUCGGCUAACUCCGUGCCAGCAGCCGCGGUAAUACGGAGGAUGCGAGCGUUAUCCGGAAUUAUUGGGCGUAAAGAGUACGUAGGCGGUUCUUUAAGCGCAGGGUUUAAGGCGAUAGCUUAACUAUCGUUCGCCCUGUGAACUGGGGGACUUGAGUAUCGGAGAGGAAAGCGGAAUUCCUAGUGUAGCGGUGAAAUGCGUAGAUAUUAGGAGGAACACCAGUGGCGAAGGCGGCUUUCUGGACGAAAACUGACGCUGAGGUACGAAAGCGUGGGGAGCAAACAGGAUUAGAUACCCGUGUAGUC